rnacentral:piRNA from 1 species
GAAGCAAAGGAAGGUGAAUCUCAGU